rnacentral:rRNA from 1 species
UGGGGAAUAUUGGACAAUGGGGGGAACCCUGAUCCAGCCAUGCCGCGUGUGUGAAGAAGGCCUUUUGGUUGUAAAGCACUUUAAGCGAGGAGGAGGCCACUCUAGUUAAUACCUGGGGAUAGUGGACGUUACUCGCAGAGUAAGCACCGGCUAACUCUGUGCCAGCAGCCGCGGUAAUACAGAGGGUGCGAGCGUUAUCGGAUUUACUGGGCGUAAAGCGUGCGUAGGCGGCUUUUUAAGUCGGAUGUGAAAUCCCUGAGCUUAACUUAGGAAUUGCAUUCGAUACUGGGAAGCUAGAGUAUGGGAGAGGAUGGUAGAAUUCCAGGUGUAGCGGUGAAAUGCGUAGAGAUCUGGAGGAAUACCGAUGGCGAAGGCAGCCAUCUGGCCUAAUACUGACGCUGAGGUACGAAAGCAUGGGGAGCAAACAG